rnacentral:snoRNA from 1 species
ACCCUCCAGUUUCCUUACCCCUCAGACGUAGAUGCUGGUCUGAGUGGCUAACAGAGGAGAAAAAAAUGGAAUACUGAAGUGGACUUGAAGUCUUUAGUGAUGUACAAGUUAAUUUCAAACAUAU